GCCGGAGUGGCGGAAUUGGCAGACGCAGCAGACUCAAAAUCUGCCGUUGGCAACAACGUGCCGGUUCAAGUCCGGCCUUCGGCACCA
rnacentral:tRNA from 4 species